rnacentral:rRNA from 1 species
UACGGAGGGUGCAAGCGUUAUCCGGAUUCACUGGGUUUAAAGGGCGCGUAGGCGGGAUGGCAAGUCAGUCGUGAAAUCUCUCGGCUCAACCGAGAAACGUCGGCUGAUACUGCCGUUCUUGAGGGAUGCAGAGGAGACUGGAAUUCCCGGUGUAGCGGUGAAAUGUGUAGAGAUCGGGAGGAACACCGGUGGCGAAGGCGGGUCUCUGGGCAUCUCCUGACGCUGAGGCGCGAAAGCGUGGGGAGCAAACGGG